rnacentral:rRNA from 1 species
AAACUUCCGCAAUGGGCGAAAGCCUGACGGAGCAACGCCGCGUGAGUGAUGAAGGUCUUCGGAUCGUAAAACUCUGUUAUUAGGGAAGAACAAGGAUGUAAGUAACUGUGCAUCCCUUGGCGGUACCUAAUCAGAAAGCCACGGCUAACUACGUGCCAGCAGCCGCGGUAAUACGUAGGUGGCAAGCGUUAUCCGGAAUUAUUGGGCGUAAAGCGCGCGUAGGCGGUUUUUUAAGUCUGAUGUGAAAGCCCACGGCUCAACCGUGGAGGGUCAUUGGAAACUGGAAAACUUGAGUGCAGAAGAGGAAAGUGGAAUUCCAUGUGUAGCGGUGAAAUGCGCAGAGAUAUGGAGGAACACCAGUGGCGAAGGCGACUUUCUGGUCUGCAACUGACGCUGAUGUGCGAA